UAAAACCAAAUUUUUUUUCUUUCAAAAAUUCAUCACAGCACAGAUUUUCGUGCUCCUAGUUCUUUUAAUAUCAUCUUUAUCAAUCUUCAUACAAAAAUUGAAUUAAAACUAAAAUUAAAAACACAACUUAAAUUCAACAUCAAAUUAUGCUUUUAAAACCCCAAUCUUCAUGUCUUCUUCUCUCAAAAAGACAUAACCCAGAUCUAUUCCUCCUAAUUUUAAUUCCAAUUCCAAACUGCUUGCUACAAUAACUCGCAAAUCACCAUUCGCAAAUCACUUCUUUUAGUGGUUAAUUCUUGAAGGUUUUGUGUUUCAACAAUGGAAGAAGAUCAAGAAAUGAUGAAACAUGUGUGCAAAUUCUGCAGAAAAAGAAGUGUGAAAGACAAAUGGGUGAAAUAUGAGAGCACAAAAUACAAGGAAGUUCAACCAUGGGGUUUCGAGCAGCCGCCGCAAGGAACGUGAAGGGAAGGUUGUGCAAGUUUAUGGCAGGAAAUGGAUGAUUCAUAUUGAGAGUAUAACUCGUGAGGAUUUGUUUGUGUUAUUGUUGAUUAUUCAAACUGUUGAUUAGUGAAUUUGUUUGAAACUUGAUUUUGUUGGUGGUUUGAAUGUUUUGUGGUUUAGAUGAACUAUUUUAGAAUUUGAGAAGUUUAUGAUUUUUGAUUUAGAUCUGAAUUAAUUUUGAAUGGUUUAGAUUGAA